rnacentral:rRNA from 1 species
UACAGAGGGUGCGAGCGUUAAUCGGAAUUACUGGGCGUAAAGCGUGCGCAGGCGGUCUCUUAAGACAGGUGUGAAAUCCCCGGGCUUAACCUGGGAACUGCGCUUGUAACUGAGAGGCUAGAGUGUGGCAGAGGGGGGUGGAAUUCCACGUGUAGCAGUGAAAUGCGUAGAGAUGUGGAGGAACACCGAUGGCGAAGGCAGCCCCCUGGGCUAACACUGACGCUCAUGCACGAAAGCGUGGGGAGCAAACAGG